UCCUUUAUGGUAGAACAAUGUAUUUAUUCUUGUUUACAUACGAACAUAUAUAUUUCAUGGAUUAAAACUAUAAUUUUUUUAUUUAUUUUAAGGGAUUCAAUUUUUUUUCUGAACACAUAUCUUCACUUUAGAUUGAUCUCACGAGUUAGUAAUCUUCUCCGUUUAAUCACCCUUCUCCUCACUCCCUAGUUACUUUUGAUCUCAUCUCAUCUCAUCUCAUCUUUCUUUUGUCUUUUCACAAAAUAUACCGUACUUUUCACCAUUUCGAUUUGUAUGUUUUAAUCUUAUAUUUUUUAUUAUAUAAUUUUUAAGAGAAGUUUCUUGUGUAUAUCUAAAUUGUGGAACACAUGUGAAGAAUGUGGUGAUUGUAAAAGAAUGCCAUAUGAAGUAGAUUGGAUCUAUUAGAUAACGAUUAUACUCUACAAGUUAAAGUUAUUAAGUAAAAAUUUCAAAAAAGUUGUCUUUCUCGAGUUUCGAUUAGUUUAUUUAUUAUUUAUUUUUCUUUGAUAUAUAUUCAUGAAAAAUAUGAAUGAUUGUCUCAACAAAUCCUCCAGAGGAAGAAGGGUGUGAUAAGUCAAAGUCUGAAGUCAGCGAUGAUGAUGAAGAUCAUGAUGACAGAGAUGACGACGAUGACGAUGAUGGUGAUGAUGUUGAUGAUGACGAAGAUCAUGAUGACAACAACGACAUCAAUGAUGAUGUUGGUGAUGAAGAAGAUGAUGAUGAUGAUUAAUGUUGGUGGUGAUGAAGGAAGAAGUGAUUAAUUGCAAUAGAAUUAGUUUCUUUAAAUGUAAUUUGGAGAACUUUUUAUCUACAAGAGUUUGUGAUUAACAAGUAGUUCUCAAUGCUUAGAUGUAUAUUAGCCCACAAUUUGAGCUUAAUGAUAUGUACCUAAAUCCAUAUUUAUAUUAACACUAACUCAGUUUGCUAAAAAAAAACAAUCCUUUUUAUUUAUACAAAUUAUUUAAUAUUAUUUGUAUACAAGCAACUGUUCUAAGAGUUUUGAACAAUAUCAACGGUUGAAUUUGCUUAUUUCUUUUAGACAAUUUAAAAUCGAAAUAAACUAUAAGAAUAAGUAAUUUGAAAAAUUGAUGAGCUUCCUUGCUACACUUAUUUUAGAUAAGUAAUUAAUACAUAUGAUGUACAUAUUAAAUGAAUCUGUUAGGUGGUAUUUGAGUAGUCUAAAGUUGAUCCUCUACCAAGGAUGCAUGGUGCAACCUACUGUAAAGUGGUUGGAUUAAGAGAGAAUUAUUUAUGUCUUAAGAAAAUAAAUUUCAAUCAAGAGUGGUUGCAGAACCGUUGGAUAUAUUUCAAUCACAAUUGCAAUUAGAGCUUCAUCGUCAUAGUCUUUAGCGCUUUUGCGGGUUUUUGAGAGAAUCGAGAGUGAUGUUGUUGUGGUCAGUUCUAUGAAGAAAUUCUUUUGAUGAUGUCGUUUUCGAUGUUGGGUAAGGUUUUGUUGGCGUAGUUGUUGUUGAAAUCAGGUUUUGUUGUUCCGAGGAAAUUUUUUGAGACAUUGUAACGACUUCCUUUUGGUCUUUUCAGGAAUUUGAGGGUUUUCAGGAUAGAUUUUUACGACAUCCUUUUGGAGUUGUGGUGGUUAUAUCAUUUUGUAUCCAUGGGUUGUGAUGAUAUAUAAUAGAAAAAUGCUUAUGUGCACGAACCCCACUCGUAAAAAUUCUACGAAUGACAUCAGUAAUAUAUUAAACUCUAAUUUGAUCUACUCUUAGAAGUUAUUUUGCACGCCACGACCAAACUCACUUCCUCGUUUAUCUAUAAUUCUGCUAGGAAGUAACAGUCACCGACGAUUAUGUCAGGUUUGUAUACCCCAUCGUCGUUGCUAGUGAUUGCAAUGCUGAUGCACAGAGCCAGAGAACCGUGAGAGAUCAUGGACAGAGGUAGUCGUGACUUGUGAUGCUAUAUGUACAGCGAAAACCGUGGCGGCCAGAGGUAACAAUAGAGACAAAGGCGGCAAGCGACAACAACGGAGAUGGCAACGACAGAGGCAACAACGGAGAAAUGUCUUUUUUUUUUUUGAAAAAACGGAGAAAUGUCUUGUUCACAUAUUGUAAUACACAACUAAAUAUCCUCGCAAUGAAAUGUCUGCAAAAAUCAAAUAUAUUCGUAAUCAAUUAAGAAGAAAAAAAUGUUCAUCAACCAAGCUUAGCAGAUGAGUAGAAAAGACAGGAUGACAGACUAGAGUGUGGUUAAAUUCAUUACUUACAUGUUAGUAUAUGAAAGAAAUCAUAAACGAAGUUCCAAAGCUAAAUCUGAAUAUUACAUGUUAGUAGAUCUCCAUAUCAAUACCAUUACAAACAAGAGAGACCAUUAUGGCCAUCCGUGACACUAGGCUACAACUGCAACCGUCCUAGAACCCCCAACCAUUUCAAAAAAUUCGGCCCAUACAAAAUCCAGAGAGGGUUGCGGCCAACCGUCACACUAGGCUACUGCCGUAACCAACCCUUAACGUACCUCCUAAACCUUCAAAUUUUUCACACCACAUCAUCCAAACCAUUCAUACAAAGAUUCAUCAUGCACAAAGAAGAAAAGAAAUACAAUCUAUGAGCUUUGUACCUAAAAAAUGAAGCAUUGCAUCAACAAUAAGGCUCACCUCUUUGAUAAAAAAUUGUAAGUUUUCCUUACCCUAUUCUAUAUUUUAUUUUCCAGGUUUCAUACAUUUAGGACAAUGUCCAAUUCAAAUAUGGCUGUACUUCAUCUUCUUCGACAAAAUUUACUUUUAAUUUGCAUUUCUUUUUAUUUUCUUUAUAUCCAUGCUAAAACCUUUUUGUUAUAAAAAUCUAAGACAUAGAUUUAUGUUUUUUUUGUAUGUGAGAAUAGAGGGAAAAUAGGCAAACAUAGGGUGCAUUCCAUGAAACUCUCGAUUUUCCUGCGGAAAAUGGAGAUAAAUCCGCAAUAAACAGGUUUCCUGCGGAGUUUGCCAGGGAUAUUCACUCCCAGGUAAUAGCUUCGCGGGUAAUUGUUUCGUGAGAAUUUUAGAAACCGAUGGAAACUUUCCUACGGAAAUGUCCUCAGGAAUGGGAGAGAUUCCUCUGCCCGUGAAUGUAUCCUCCAACGUUCUGCAUGUGAUUCCGCAGCCAAUUCCGCAGGUAAUGCCGCAGCAAAACUGUUUCCGCAGAUAAUUCCUCAGGAAACUUAAUCUAUUAGCAGAAAAAUCCACAGGAUAUUUACUGGUUCAUCAAUACAAUUUGGUUCAUCAGUACAAUUUUUUAAUUAUUUUCUAUUAAUGAAUGCCAACAGCCAUAUUAAAAGUCAUUUUUAAUUAUUUGUUUGAUAAAGAAGUUUAUUAGAAACUAUCUCGAGUCAAAUUUGGGACAUAGCAUAUGCGUUUUUUUAAAAACAUGGAAAGAGGUAAAAGAUCGAAAAAUAGCAUACACAAAAAAAAAAUGGCAAUAACAACUUGUUCUUUAUAACAAAAAAAAAAAUACAUCUUACUGAAAAAUAAACUUUGACAUACAAAACACUCACAUGAAUCAUUACGUGCUAAAAUCAAUUUUUUGGCCGGAUAUCCUUGAUUUGCAGGGAACCCAAACCCGACUAAACAGCCAGACGGUAGGUUGGCAGAGCUAGCAAGGGUUGACUUCUCGGUAUUGUGAGUUCAAAUUUUUCUAACAUAUCUAACUCAUUAUAGAACAUACAAUUCGGAAGCUCCCAAUUGAAGCAAUGCAGUAACUGGGCCACAACAAGUUUAACAGAAGUAAUUCCCAUUUGCAAUCCAGGACAACCUCUUCGACCAGAACCAAACGGCAAGAGUUGAAAAUCAUGUCCACAAAUGUCUACAUUACUAUCUUCAAAGUGGAUACACGUGGAUAAUGAAUGAGUGGGUCUCAAUUCUCAAUUAAAUUUGAUGAGACUCAUACAAAUUUCGUCUAAUAGAAAAAUAUUAAAAUAAUACGUUAAACUAUAUUGCUAAUAGAAUUGAUAUCAUGUAUAUCAUAUCUGAAGAUCAAACGGGCGUAGCCAAGGUAGAUAAUCAGACAGAUUAAAUUUUCCAGUCAAUAACAUCGCCCUCGUGAACAAGCCCCUUUAAGUCGAAAUCAUCUUUGCUUCGUCCCAAUAUCAUUUUACAAGUGAUAUUCUCUAUAAGCUCAGCUACAACCUUGCUAACAUUAACAACCUCAUGUAAUGUAGCUGAAUUUCUUAGUGACUUAACCAACAAUCCAACUUCUUCCUUUCUCAAAGGAGCAAACAUCUCAACUUUCGAAGAAUGCAAUAAUUGAACGCUACACAAUUUCCUCAUAUUGCGCCAAUAGUCGCCAUACUCGGUAAAAAUUAUUCCCUUUUUACCAUAUGUCAUAUAAUCUGCAGCAAAAGCUUUGGGUGUACUAGAGAAAAUACUAUCAUGGGUCUUGAGGAAUAAUUCAGCAAUUUGAGGUGAUGAAACCACAAUGGUUUGGACUUGUCCUAAUUUGAAGGACAUUAUGGGUCAAUAUUUUUGAGAAAGCAAUUGAAGGGAACGAUGUGGAAGUUUUCCUAGCAUGUGAAGGUUACCAAUAAUUGGCAAAGGUUUUGGACCUGGUGGAUUUUUGCUACCAUUUUUUGAAUCAAUUUUGAGUGAAAAAUAGUAGCUGAUAGAAUGGGUAUGAAUGUAACAGAGAAAUUCAGGGAUAACAAAUGUUUGAGGUAACAUGUAGCGGCUUACAGUUCGAAUCCCCCAAAUUUUGUCUCUAGAAUUGAUUAUACUGAUUUGUAGCUUUUGACCGUAAUUUUUACACUCAAAUUUAUUUUUCAACUCACUUUUAUGUGAAUGACUCCAACCAUAAAUCGCUUCACAUUCAACUCGUUCUAAACUGAAAUCAAUUUUACCUAAUAAAUUCAACGUUGGAUAAUAAAUUUAAUGAGCAAAUCACAGUAGAAAGAUUUUCGGAUGUGGUCCUUGAUAAUCAAUUAUUUAGGUCUAUGAUUGGGCUAAAGGUUUUGGAACUUAAAAAUUGUCACGUUUUGCAACAUUUUACUCACGUUUUAUUUCCUCGUUUGGUUUUAUUCUAUUUUAGUACAAAUUUGAUGAAGUAACACAACAUUUGUCAAGUGUUCUGUCAAAAAAAAAACAUUCGUCACGUGAAUUAUAUUUCUUUUGAAUUAUUAAAACAAUACUACUUUUUCCCGACCAUAUAUCUCGAUGGCUUAAAAUAUAGGAUCCAUCAACCACUCCUUUUUGUUCGGGUCAUGCUAACAUGUUAAAGUUUUAAAAAAAAAAGCAAGGAGAGGUCCAUGUAUUCUUCGCGCGCAAUUGUGUAGACUAAUUCCUGAAUUCUAAUGGGCAGCAAACUCCCCUAAGAGUUUUAACAUUGUUGUAUGUCCAAGGUUGGAUUCGAACUCAGCUGCAUGUUCAAGGUUGAAUUCGAACUCAAAACCUUGGUUAAAUUAGAAGAGACUUAUACUAUCUCAUCUACGCGUUUUUGUGUCUACAAUAAUUAGAUAUUCAAUGUACAUAAAUUAAUAUCUUAGAUAAUUAUCUGAUAUAAAUGAAUAAACCAAAACAUAUUUUAUAUCCCUUAUCUUUUACGAUGCAUUCGCUUUUUUACAGAGAAAAUAUUUGUUUUAGUCCUUUAUCGUUUAUUUCUUAUUUUAUUUAUCUUAGUUCUUCUAUUACCUAACAUUAUAUAUAUUGAACGUUAGUACACCGUAUUUAUGUUACCAAACAUUGUAUAUUUUGUAAGAAGAGAGUUUUGAGGAGGCACUGAUGUCCUAUGUUGUUCAUUGAGAAAAGAUAUUUGUACAACUAUUUUGUACAACUUUUGUGACAACUUUCUCUCUCAUACUCAUAUUUCAUUUUUUAUUUUCUCUCUCUAUUACUUUGAUUUUCGUGCCAAUACAUAUUUUCCUUUGUAAAAACAAGAGUGUCUAUUUGAUUGUCAAGCAAAUAGAUGUUCAAAUAACACUACUCUUGUUCAUUAUGGUAGAAACAUAAAAAAUGUAAAGAGUGAUAAAAUAAGAGUGGUUGACGUUUGUAAAGAAGGUUGAAAAUGAAUGGCCUAGAAUAGGCUUACAAUUUUUGACUAGUUGAAUUGUUAGAUUAAAUUAAUCUUUUUCUUGCCACGUAGUGUAACAUAUGCUGGUAGAAAAAAAUAAAUUAAUGAAGCCUGAUUGAAGGAUAAUCUUUUUUUAAGGAAAAUAAUGGGUUCCCAGAAUCAGAUAGAAACACUUGGAAUUUGGACUCAAAUAUUAUAAUCAACUACGUGUCUCACUUGUGUAAGUUGAGAUAGGCUAUAAUAAUACCAUCCGACACUAAUCUACCGCUAAUGUUUUUAUAUAUAGCCGACCAUAAUAUUUGCAUUGGUUAAGCUCACACUAAUAAUAUAAUGUCUUCUUUUAGCGUCGAAUGACCCACGCUGAAUAAUAAUUACUUCUCCGUUUCAAAAUACAUGUCGCGAUUUUACAAUGUACACUAUUCCCAUAAUUUACUUUGACCAUUUUUUUUAACUAAUAUAUAAAUACAAAUGUUAGCAUGUAAGAUGUUUGAUUUUUCACUGAGAGAAGAAAAAGAUGUUUGAUUUGUCUCAAUGAAUAUUUUCAAAAUAUCAAAUUUUUAUAAUUUUUUAUUAUAUAUAAUUAAAGAUAUUAAUAGUCAAAAUUGUGUAUUGACAUGUGUGUGGUGGAUGACUCUGACAUGUAUUUUGGAACGGAUAGAGUAUAUCCUAAUACAAUUAAGGGUGCGUUUGAUUUGCUAAAAAAUGAAGGACUGGACAUAACAACUCCAGUUGUCCAGUGUUUGAUUUGUAAAACUGUCUCAGGAACAACAGAACAAACUAGAGGCAAGGGACAAAACAAAAACUGAUAUUUUUGUCCCUCACCAAACCACAACACAACUUUUUGUCCCACGUAUAGGUUGUCUAAAAUACAAAAAUAGCAUUUCGUCCCCCAAAACUCGUAUAAAACAAAAAAUUAUUCAAUGCCAUAAAAAUUUGUCAUGUGUUGUUCUCCCUUAUAUUGUGUUGUUCUUUCUUGUACUGUUAUGUACAAUACUUGAUGUUUUGCAAACCAAACGCACCCAAGAGUCAAGAUCUAUUAAUUUUGCUCAUUCACAGUUUUUUAACGGUCUAAUUCAAUCUAUGAUAAAAAUAUAACGCAAAUUAAUCAUUAAUAUAUAUAAUACCGGAAACAAGUUAGUUUCUCUAUUGCAGUGAAUCAAAGACAAUUUGUUAGAGUAUCCAAAUUUAUCUUAAAAGCUAUCCAUAAAUCUAAAUUUAUAUUCAUCAUCAAUCAUUAAAAUUUGAAUAAUGUCAAUAAUAUUUCAUCAUCUUCACAUUCACUCAGAGCUACAAAAUAUAGACUAGAUCGGUUGGUCAGACCAACUGGACCAUACAUUGAGCACAUAUUCAAGCUAUUUAGGAGAAUCAAGCUAUCAGAUCCAGAUUUCUAUUAGAUAAGAGUUGACGUAAGAUGAAAUAAGGAAGUAACGACCAGGCGGCGACAUCUUUUAGUAGAACAAGUCACAAGAAAGGAAGUGUGGAUUUAGGGUUAGUUAAUGGGUUGGAUCUAGGUAAGUUAGAUGUUAUAGUUGACACAACCCCAAAAGUCGAGUCCCUUAAUAUAUAUAUAUAUAUUUUUUACAUAAGAGUCUCUUUCAACUUAUCCAUAAGUACGUGCAUAUAAACAUAAUUAUUAAAAUAUUAUUGUAGUUCAAUAUGUAAACUAUUUUCUCAACAAUUUACAUUAGAGUUUUAAUAUACAAAACAACUCACAAUAUUUUUUUUUUUGAACCAAGUAUCCUCUAUGUGCAACUACAAAGAUUAAUCAUCUGAUCUUGAUAGGAUCAUAAUGGAUGACAAAACUGUCCUUCAAGAGAUUUAAGACAAAGGGAGUGGAGUAAUAAAUUUUAACCAUAAAAACUUUUCUUUUUUUAAAUUUUACAAAAGGAUGGAAGGAAAUCAUUUACUUUAAAACUAAUAACAUAUAAUUUAUGCUUUGAAGUGAAAAAUAUAUUUUAUUUGCCAAUAUGCAUGUCAAAAAUGUUGGUUACAAUAUUAACAUAUUUUAAGGUAAAAUCGAUGCGUCUACAUAUUUAACUAAUACUCUAUUCAUUCAUUUUUAAGUGUCGUUUUAGAAUAAUAUCACCGAAAUAAAGAAGGGAAUAUGUGGAGUAUUUUUCCUAUUGUACCCUCUUUUUAAUCCACUAAUAAAUUUCUAUUUUUUACAAACACUUUAUCUUUUAAAUAGAUUUAAUGGGUUAUUUUUCUCUCAUAACAAACAAAAUUUGUUAGUUACUCUUUCUCUCUGCAACAAAUUCCUUUUUUUUGCAUACAUAUUCCUUUAUUUUUUCCAUUAGAAUUGUUCUUUUAUUUUUGCAUUUGAAAUUUAAUUUUUGACAUGUCACUCAUCUUAUUUAUUAAAUUUAAAUUCUGCAUUGAAUCAUUAUUAUAGAUAACAAAAUAUUGUUAAAAUUUGCAAAUAACCGAAAACAAACUUUGUAUAAAAACAAACUUGAGUUUUUACGAUUAAGAAGCAAUUGACUCUUGUACAGAUUAUAAAUUAAUUUACUAUAAAUACAGUAUACUUUGUUUUUAUUUUGGGCAAUUAUUGCGUUUAUUCGACUGAUCCACAAACUGCGAAAAUCCCUUUUUUUCCUAUCUCUAUCCCGAUGAGCCGAAACCAAAGCUUUUAUUUUCUGUUGCGAAAUAGUUCGAAUAAGUUUUGAAUGAGCUCCGCGAAAGCUUGAUGUAAAUAAACUCAUUUUUGUCCUCCGUUUUCGAGCGAUAGAUCCUCGUUUAACUCUGGUCAUUGAAUAAGUGAGACUUUGAUGAAUAACUAUUUUCUUUUUUUCUUUCGGUUAUUCUUUUAUCCUUACCUAGUCUAUUAAUAACAAAAUGGAUUUUUCCAAUGUAUAAAAUAAAAAUUCCAAUGGCUUUUGCUGCUAUAACCUUCCCAACCACGAUUUUUUUUUCUAAGUAUUUAACCUCUUAAUAAGAAAUUCUAUUGAUACUAGGUAUUCAAAAAAGCAUAGUUAAUUUAAUAGAAAUAGACAAAGAAAUGGUGGGUUCCAUCGUUUCUAUGAUUAUUUGUUAAACGGUAAGGUCCUCUCUAUACACCGGAGCCCCUUCUAUAACAUUAAUUAGUUUUAUUAAAAAAGAGUAAAGAAGAGUAAUUCAAAAAUGAUAUAAUUGACGGGUUGUACUCUUAAAACUAACAAAGCGACAAUUAAAUAGGAAUGUUAAAUCCAUACUCAAAUGUCAGUUAAAAAUGAAUGAAGGGAGUAUUUUUAAUGAUAUAAGGAACUACUUCAUCCGUCCCAAAAUAUAUAACGUUUUAGAAAUUUAAAAUGUAUUAAAAAAUGUAAUUAAUUUUGUAUGGAAAUGAAUUAUGAGUUAUUUUACAAAAUUAUCUUUAAUAAAUGGUAUGAGAAAGAUAAAUAAAAAAAUUGAAAGAAGAGUGAGUUAUAAAUAGUUAAGAAUAUAAUAAGAAAAAUAGCAUUAAUGCUUCAUUGAUAUUUUAAAGCAAAGUAUAAUUUGGGACAGUUUUUUUUUUUUUCCAAAACGACAUACUCUCUCCAUUGUCAAUUAUAAGAAAAUUUAAAUUUUUAGGUUCAUUCAAUUAAUGAUGUAUGUGGUUCAUAUAAAAAGUUAAAUUUGCUUAUAAUUGGUAACAGAAGGAUUAUAAUUUAGGACGGAUGGAUUAUCAAAUUUUCUAUAACUAUUAAUAAAGGAAAAACAUGGAUUUGGUGUAGCCUAUUUUUACUGCCUAAAAUACCCUUCACAAUUUUUGUUUUAAUUUUCUUUUUUCUGAAUACAGUUUUUAUUUUGAAGUUAAAUACAAUUUUGCGUCAAAGUAACUGCAAUUGGAUUCAAAACAUGUAACUGGCAUAAUUGUUAACGGGAAGUAAACUGGCCGCAAUAUUUAUGAGAACUUAAGUUAGAGACAAAUUGCAAACAACUUUUUUUUAGAGGACAAAUUGCAAACUAUUGUCCAUCCCAAUUCCAAACAUUCCGUCCCACCACCAGAAUAUUCUACGGUUACAUUACAGGCUAAUGGGUCUUGCUCUUCAUCUAUUUAAAACUGCUCCACAUAAUCAUUCAAAAAAAAAAAAAAAAAAACUGCUCCACACAAGAGAGAAGAAACACUGACAUGAAGGAAGAUAGAGAGAUGACAUGGUUUUGAAUGGGUGGCAGAAAUUAGAGACGAAAAAGAUAUGAGAAAGGAAGGUGAUGACAGUUUCCUCACCACCGGCAAAGUCAACGACGGAAUGGAGCGGCAGCCCUUAGUGGCGUCAAUGUAUGGACAAGCCAUGACAGCGACAUAGAAGGUAUCACCAAAAAUGAUUGUAUGGAUUUGCUCUUACUUCAAAUUUUUUCACACUUAUUUCACUAAUUCGUUUGUCUCUUAUUUUUGUGUUCCUUCUAUAAGGUGUAGUUGCUGCAUGUGAAUUGACUGUUGAUUAUUCUUCUACCAUGCAUUUAGUGAUUAUUCUUCUAACACUUCACCAAUCAAUUACGGUAACAUGCAUUUAGUGAUUAUUCUUCUAACAUUUUUUUUCCUCUUUUUAUUUCCAUGGUUUGAUAUAGUUUCUCAUUUAUUUCUUUACCAUGUUGUGUUUUUAAGUAUGUGAAAUUCAAGAAGAAAAAAAAAACUAUGUCGCUCGCUUCUUUGUAAUGUUUUUAAAGAUCUCUUAUUCAAAUAAUUAUGUUUGAUUAGUAGAUCAAACUAAAUAAUCAGCAUUAUGCUUCUUACUAUGUUACUUCAUGUUGACUCAGUUGUUUGCUGCAUAAGGAUAUGGUGACAUAAUAUAUACCAAACAUUCAUGAGAUAUGCUUUAUGUGAGAGAGACCGUCUGAAAAAAUGGAAAGACAGAAGACAAAGAAAAUGGUAGAGAAGUAUGAGACAAAAGGCCAUGUAACGACCCAGUAUUAUGUGUAUAUUAUAUAUGUCCAUUUUAUUUUACUAAUGAAGCAAUAGUUAUAUAAUUUUUAUUUAUUCAUUGGAAAAUUAGGAAUAGGGACGUGACCGGCUUAAAUGCUUCUUGCUACACUAUUAUUCUUAAUUAAUUUUGGGACUAUCAGUAAGUUAUGAUAAUAGAAAUGUCUAGAACAAGAAAUAGGAAAACUUUAUUGUCUUUAAAUUCUCUUAAUUCCUUUUUCUAGUCAAAGUUUAUGUAUAUUUCCUUUUGGUGUGCCACGACUAGGUGGAAGAAGUUUAAUGAAAUUGUUGCACCUCUAUUUUAAUAAUUAAUUUAUUGUUUAGUUUUGACUUAACUUUACAUUAUUUUAUUUAUUCGAUGAUUUAUAUUAUGUGAUGAUCUAUAUUUAACCAAGAUACAUGAGAACUUAAUUAGAAUCAAUUCUUUUGAUUUCUUCCUCAUAAUAGCAUUGGACCAACUUAACUACCAUGUGUUUACUUUCGGUACACAGUGAUGCUAGUUAAUUGGCAUUUAAUUCUUUCAUAAUUUCUUGAGGCCUUAUCAUAAUUCUUUUAUAACCAUUCCUCCUUUCAUUCCCAAAGUGUUUUCACGCCUCCAUACCAUACUCACCUUAUUCAUAAACAAACAACUUUUUCGGUUCUUCUUACUCUGAACUCUUGCAAGAUCAAAAUGAAGUUUUGGAUUCUCAAUCUCUUGAUUUAUAUAAUAUUUUUUCAUUGAUCUUAGAGUCUUCUUCCAUGUUAAGGAGGUAAGGGCUUUUUCCCCAUAUGUUCGUGCUAGGAAUAAGUUUAUGUUAUGAAAUAAAUAUUAGAAUAUUUAACCAUUAAAAAGGUAAUGUUAUGUUUUGUGUUUGAGUUGUUCUUUGAUGUAUGUGUGUGAUUGACUAUGAUUGAGAGGUUCUGUGAUUUAUGUGUGUGAUUGACUGUGAAAUGGAAUAGUGUGUUAGUUUUGAUUCAAGUACUCUAGCACAAUAAAUUAUUGUUAGUUAGUUUGAAGAUAUGUAUCAUAUUUUGAGACAUCCAUCAUGUAGUAUGCAUGGUAGGUGCCUCCGUGGCUGAAUUGUGCCUUCGUGGCUGAACUUUGCCUUCGUGACUGAAUUGUGCUUCCGUGGCUGAACUUUGCCUUCGUGGCUGAAUUGUGCCUUCGUGGUUGAAUUUAUCCGGAUCAUGAGUUUGCAUUUUCAUGCAUAUAAAACAUUCAUUUGUGUUAAAAGAAUUUAAUAUUUAAGUUUUUUUUAUUUCUUUUUAGGGUAAAAUGUUCUAUUAUUUGUUUUAUGACAUUUACUUUCCGUUUGGCAUGUCCCAAUUUGAAUAAGGAAAUUGACCCUUACAUUAAAUAAAUUGUUGUAGGUACCAAAGAAUGAUAAUAUGAAGUUGAUGUUUGAUUGAAGCAUACGCGGGGAAAAAAAUGAGUUUUAUUGAAUUGUAAAUGAAAUUUAAAAUAUUCUUUUUAGUGUACUAUUUUCUUCUGUUAGAAAAUAACAAAUUAUAAACAGUAAAUUUCUAUCAAUUUAUUUAAAUAGCUCGUCUUUCUAUUAGUCUGAUUUCAAUAGUUUAUUUAUAAACCAAAAUAAAAUAUAGUCUCAUAUUUUCUAAAGAAAAUGAAUAUUUUUAAGUAAUGUCUUGGAUCAAAAUCCGAGGCGUUACAGGCCACCCUUCGAUGGUGCAAAGUCUUCACAAAAGAAAUAAGUUGUUGUUCAUGGUCGCGCAACAAUUGUAUCACGACGGAGUUGAUCGAAAGGUUCUGUACAAUCGAACACCACUUAACUCAAUACAAGGAUUUGAGAUGCCCUUGGCGGCAAUGUAAUUGAUUUACAAACCAGUUGAUUUAUAAAGGUUGAUUAUGUCUCUUUUUGCAUUUACUAUUUAUAUUCGAUCAAACUCUGUUCAAUGUGAGAUAGAGGACAAGAGUAUAGGAAGGGGAGAGAUAAAAUAAUAUGUAAGGAAAAUAGGGAGCCAUCUAGGCCACCAUUUGGCAGGGGUCUAAAUGCAAAUGCUCACAACACUCACACAAAAUGAUAGAGGAAGGGGCAUAAGAUUUUUGGAGAGAGAGAGAGAGAGAUUUGUUUGUUGAUUUUAGUUAAAAUGUUUUCUUAUUCUGUUUCUACAAUUAAUUUUAUUCUCUUCAUUUCUUUUGUAGAUAAUGAGAGUGUGAUGUAAGUAGAGAUGAUGAACAUGUCUUAUUUUUUUAUUUCAAACAAAAUGAUUUGGUUUUGGUUUUAUUUUCAAAUAUAACUAUAAGUAAAGAUCCAAUUUGGUUUUGUGAUUUGUACUUUGGACUUAUUUUUUAUUUGCUUUGCUUUUUGUUACUCAAGUAUACUAUUACCCAAGUUCAACAGCUAAACUCAUUUCAAUCUCAAGCAUAGAGUAGAGAAUAAGAACCAUAAGUGGUGGGAGAAAGCUCUAAAGGUAAAUAUACAUGUUCUGAAAUACACUUUAACGAAGUGAUUAUUUAACAAACUUUAUUCUAUGCUAUGAUGUCAAAACUUUAUUCUAUUCUAAUGAAAUGAAAAGUGUUAAAGAAUGAAAAGGGCUAAAAAGAUUAAUUAUGCAUUUGGAAUCACAAUGAGGUUUUAGAAAACGGGUUGAUAUUAUAAUUUUCUUAUGUUUCAUUUAUAUUUCUAUUUUAUUGUGAGCAUCUUGGAUAGUAUGUAUGAAGUGUGUUGAGUGAGAGAUAUGUCAAUUAUCUUAUCUUUAAAAUCAUUUGUAUUAAUUAAUAACAAUUACGGUGUGUUUAAAUCAUCUCUUAUUCUUUUACUAUCUAUUUAUAUUGAUCUCUUUUUUGUUUGGUAGAUAUCUAUUUAUAUCUCUUUAUUCAUAGAGUAGCUACUAUAUUCGAAAUUAAUAUUUUUAUCAAGUUUGAUUUUUUUUUUUAUUUUUUUUAUCAAGUUUGAUCAUUCUUUUAAUUCUAAUAAUUUUCUCCAAGAUAUAUAAAAAAAAACUAAAAAAACUAAAUCAACAUUGAUAUUGGAAAAAAUAUUGUUUAUGUGUUACAUGCGUUAGCGCAGUAGAAAGAGCGGACAGACGGAUACGGGAGUGCCGGUCUGGACGCUAGUACCCAUAAAGAAAAUCCAUCCCUAAAUAGUUUAAUAAAGAUUGAAUAUUCGAAAAAAAUUGAAAAAUGUCAAAACAUAUUUUCAUAGUUUAUUUUCAGAAAUGCAUUCUUUCGAAACUUAAUAAUUUUCCUAUCUCACUUCUCUCUUCUUCCACAACCUCACUUUCCAAUAACCUUCCACCGUCACCAUAUCUUCCUCUCCCCCUUACACCCCAAACGUACAUCGCCAUGAUGUAGCCGCAGACUAUGGUGGUGGAUGAGUUCUUUUGUCUCCAUCAGCUUUUAUGUGACUUUGGUUGUUUGUGGGUUGCCUAGAUAUUUCUUUUGGAUUUUACCACACCCGUUGAUUUGGUAGCUCAUAGGUUCUUUUUCUAGUUAAUUGUUUAAGUUGCCAAUGUAAUGUACGUGGAAUAUGAAAAAAAUGUCCCCGUAAUGAAAAUCAACAUAUAUUCUAUUUCUUAAAUUUGAUAUUUUGUUAGCUCAUAGGUUUUAUUUUUCUAUCAAAAUGUCCCCGUUGAUUUGGUAGCUCAUAGGUUUAAUUUUUCUAUCAAAACUACCAAGUUACAAUUUUGUUCCAAGUAAGUAUAUACUCGUCGGUCCAUCUUUUUUCCCCAAUUUUGUUCAUAACAUCAUAAUAAUCCUAAUCUACAAAAAUUCAUAAUUUAUUUUUUUCUCAUAUAAAAAAAACUCCAUAAAUUCGUGGUAGAGUAUUUUAUGAUGUUAUCGACAUAUCUACUAAAUUGAAGAACGGAAUUUUGGAAGGUGAGUAUAUUAUUACAUGAAACAAAAUAACGAUUUUGCAAGUUUUAGUCGAAAAAUCUAAAUAAAUUACAACAUCUUCAAAAUGUUGUGAAAUUUUUAAGAUAUUUUAUAUGUAUUUUAUAGAGGUUUUUAAAAAAAUCAAUUCAAAAUUCGAUUUCUAGGUUGAGGUUUUCAUUUUUUGUUUUUUGAAUUUUUGGUGCUUUUAAAAUUCAGAAUUAAUUCAUCUCUUAUAAAAAAAAUUCUAAUUUUAUACGGGAGACCUGAUUUUUAAGGAUUUAACUUGGUCUUUUCCUUGUCGAAUCUUCCCGUGUAUUGAUAGAUUCAUGAUUUAUUGAUGUGUUAGAUUGUCAUAGAAAUGGUUAACACAACACCCCUCGGCAAAAUCUAAAUGUCUCUAGUAACACUCACUCGGUGGUAUCCACAAUGUUUAAAUCUUUAGGCUAUGUGGACAUCAAAAACUUGAAGUACCAAUAACUUUUACAUGUGGAUUAAGAUCAAUAUAGAAUGACAUUAAUGUAAGAGUUUGUUGAAUAUGUGAAGGUGUACAUUUAAUUGAAGUUUUGAUUUACUAGAUGUAAUUUGAUAGUUUCUUGUUUAAUUAAAAUGAUAAGUGUGAGAAAGUAGUUAGAUAUCUUGUAUAUUUUAGACACUUUGAUUACUUGUUUUUUUUUUUUGUAAGUUAUUCAAUGAAAAGCUCACAAAUAAUGAAGAUUUAUCAAUUUAUUUUUUGUAUACCUAAUACCAACCUUUUGUGUAGGAAAAUGCAUGCCUGGACAUUAAGAAAGUAAAGAAGCAAGAAGAAAUGUAAAGGUAGGUGAUGAGAGGUCAUCUUACUUUAUUCUUAGCAUGUUUUUCAGUCUAUUUUAGUAGGUUUAAUUUUGCCAGCAAACCAGAGGAAUAUUAGAUCAAUUGUCUAUGAUUUUCGGGACAUUUGUAAUGUUUUCUAUAUUUGAGUUUGUAAUUCUAUUCUUUCUGAAACAUAGCUAUUUUAGGGGGAAAAUCAAGACCUCAGAAGAUUAUUGGACUUUAGGAAUAUAAAGAAUGAAGAUUCAAGAGACCUCAGAAGAGUUUACUUAGGGAAGAAUUAUGUUCAUGCAUGACUCUAGGCGCCUCGCGCAUGUGACUUGUAAAAAAAAUUGCUUUUUGUGAAUUUUUUGCCCCUGGAAGCCCAUGAUUUUAGCCCAAGUAAGGUGUAAACUUUCCCUAUAAAUAAAAGCCUUCCUCAUUCACAAUUUCUCAGAACUGGAGCAGUUCAAGAGGAAGGCUAUUUUAUGGUCCAAUGAGGAGUUUUAUCUUCUCAUAUUUUUUCUAGGGUAUGUUUUUAUCCUUUUGUAUUUCUGUCUUAGUUAUCAUGUGUAACUGAAUAUCUAUAAGUUAGAGUUCUAAGAUGAACCUCUGUUUACUUUUGUUGGAUAAUUAUUUAAUGGUUUAAAUAGGUCUUUCGUCCCUGCAAAUAUGGUCAUUUGAAUUUUCGUCCCCGAAGUUACUAAUCUUUCCAUUUUGCCAUUGCAAAUAUUAAUAAUUUGAAAAAUGGUCCUAAUUACAUCUGAUAAUUAACUUCAGGGACGAAAAUUCAAAUGACCUAUAUUUCCAAAGACGAAAGACCUAUUUAAGCCAACCACCUCGCCCAAUCAUCACUUGGCACAUGGGCACCACGCCGCUAAUGACAGCCCACCUCAGCAAAAAAAAGCUAAUUAUGACCAAAAGUCAAAUGAUUAAAUUUUGCAGUAACAGAUUGGAAUUAUUAGUAACUUCAGGGAUGCAAAUUCAAAUGACCUAUAUUUGUAGGGACGAAAGACCUAUUGAAGCCUUAUUUAAUGUUGUUUUAUUUUAGUAUAUUUUCUGUUCGCAAUUAAGUUUUAUUUAGGAUUAAUUUAUUUUCGUGAGGUGUAUUACUAGAUUAGAUACUUAGGUUGUGACAGUGCUUAACAUUGCUACUAUCAUCUGGAAGCUUAUAUCUUGAUAUUUAUUUCGUUAUACUAGUAAUUAUCUGUCUAGGAAGUAAGUGAUUAGUAAACUAGUGAAAGAUACCGAAAGAGAGUUGACCCUAGUAGUAAGUACUUAGGAGUUGACAUACCUAAUAUUGAGUAAAAUCUAUUGAACCUAGUGAUGACAUCUCGUCAUUACGUAAUUUUCUAUGUAAUUUGAUCACAUUUUGGAGUUCACAACGCAACUUAGAAAAGCAGAAAAACUGAAGAAAUUAAAAUACAAAGAAAGAAAACGUGUCACGAUUUGGUAAAAACAUGACACGAUUUUAGAAGACCAAAACAUACUUUCGACAUUGAGGAAAACGUGUCACGAUGGCAAAAAUGUGACACGAUUUGAGGAAACCCUAAUUCAGCUGUUUGUUAUUCAGUGGAAAACGUGUCACGAUUUACUUAAAACGUGACACGAUUUUGGGCGAAUUUUUAUGCCUAUUUAACUUCUAAUCACGAUAUAAAUGAAAUUGCAGGAAAAUUAAAUUUGGAUGUUAUUUAUGUUAUUGAUAGUGGUAUCGUUGCUUCAAAUGGUAAUGAUGAUAAGAUAAAGGAGAUCAGGGAACCAAUUGAUGAUAGAACCUUGUUUUUAAUAUUUUCCAAAGGUUAUCUUAUUUUUGAGAACGAACUCAGAGAAUUCUUCAUGCGGCACCCAUUUACUAUUCUGGUGAAACAAAUUAUUUACAACAUAAUAUUAUUUUGUUGAAUCUGCAUGGUUUAUGUUGCUUCAUAAAAAUCAUUAACAAAAGUUGAAUGUUUCAUGACUUGUGUUUCCUUUUAUUUCAACUUCAUAGGCUGCAUUAUCAUUUAAAAUAUAAAGUACAAUAUGAGUUGAGUUGACUUAAGUUGAUGUAAAAAAAAAAAUUAUGAUUGUAGAGGUUUAGGAAUUUGGUAUAUUUUUUCCAUUUGGAAAUGUUGUUCUUAACUCUCCAUGGCAUAUGAAAUAUCAUUUCUAGUUUUAUUCAGACCAGAAUUAUGAUAUAGUGAAAUGUGAUAAGUGAUAUAUGUAUUUUUUUUUGAAGGAAUAAGUGAUAUAUGUAUGUGAAAUACUACUUGUGGAUUUUGUGAUGUGUUGAUUGUGAAUUAUGACAAAUAAAGAUUUGUUUUUCUUCAUUGCUGGUGAGAGAACUUUGAGUAAGGAGUGACUCAAGUCAAAUAAGGGGAGCAAGGUAGCGUUAUGACUUAAAAUAUUGGGAUACAUGUCGUCAUCAUAUACCUAGGGUGAUAUGAUCCUGGUAACAUGGAUACAUAACUAUAUUGAGUAUAAUGGGUAGUGAUCUAUUAUGUAAAUCUCAAGGAUAAAAAUAAGGGGAAAUUAUUAAGAGACUUAAGGGAGUACCUAAAUUGUUGGAAGCUAUCGUGAACCCUUUAGUUAUCUAGCGUCACCUAAGGGAUCUUAGGAUGGGUUGAGAAAGUCUAUGAGGACUUGAAUAUUUUUGUCUCUAUUCAAGCAUAGUACAAUUUUCUCAUCAAAUGUACAUAGUAGUUUUAUUAGUGCUAAUCUUGUCUCAUGAGUGUUUAUGCAUUGUAAGGGGACUAUAAGUGUCAAUUUGAUAUGGGAAGUGUUGAGAGAAAAGUGCAAUGUGUGAAUGCAUGCAUCACAAGUGUGUUCCAUAAGUGGAUAUGUGUCUAUUCGUGUUGACUCGUUGUGUUGUUUCUAUAUGUGAAUUAUGGUAGCAUGAAUUACAUUAUGAUGAUCAAUAAUUGUACGUUUAAUAAUGCAACACUGCAUGUAUACUUGUGAAGUUGUUUCUAAGAAGUGACUUAUGUGACUGGUGAUAGAUGUGAAUAUGUAUCAUGCCGAUAAAUGUCCAUAUUUUUUUUUUAAAGUAAAUUACAUUCCCUCCCUUCAAAGAUGCUUGAAUUACACUCCCCUCCCCUUUUAUGUUAAAAUAUACACUCCCCUCUCCUCUUAUUCAAAACAUAUUAGAAAACAUUUCAAUCUCCUCCUUAAGAGAAGUAUGAAUUACAUUCCCCUCCCCUCUUAUGUUAAAAUCUACACUUUACUCCCUCAAUAUAUAUUUUUUUAUUUCUAAUAAUCUAGCAAAAAUAAUAAUAAUCUAACACACUUACGAAAACAAAUAGUAUUGCGUGUCUAUUUUAAUAUAACCAAAAUUUGAAUACAUAUUUUUUCUCUAUUUUUUUCACAAUUUCAUUAACAUAUAGUCUUAAACCUAUUAUAAAAUAUGAAACAACUCAAAAUAAAAUUUAAACAUGUGAAAAAUGACUAAAGACAAUAAAAUUUGGUUAUUUAAAAGUUAAUUUUAUACUCUAAAUUAUAAAAUUAAUAGCAAAAUAUUUAAAUUUUAUUAUCAUUGACAUUUAAACUAUAAAGAAAUGAAUUUAUUUUUCUAAAAUGGUUGUUCAAAAUUAGUAUAUAUCACAAAAAAAUAUUUAUGUUAAAAUAGAUUAAAGUGUAGUGCAUAUUUAAUUAUUAAGGGAUGGGGUUGUAAUUCAAGUAUCUUAUAGGGGAUAAGAGUAUAACUUUUAUUUUUCAAGGGAGAGAAGUGUAUAUUUGAACACAAGAGGGGAGAUGAGUGUAAUUCAAACAUCUUUGAGGGGAGGAGAGUGUAAUUUUCUCUAUUUUUAAAAUGUUAAUCAUAUGAUUAAUCGUUAAUAUGCCAUUUUUUGUCGACGUGUCUCUAAAUGUUAAAUAUGGUAAAUCUUUAUAUAUAUAUAUAUAUAUAAUGAUUAUAAUCAUAUGAUUACUCUAUUUUUUUUCCUCGCAAAAAAAAAAAAAUACAUAAAUCAUUAUUUAAUUUAUGUGAAUAUUUUCAAUAGUUUUCUUAUCUAUGCUUUGUCUUUCAUGAUUUUUGUCUACUCACCCUUUUAUGUUUUUUGUGUGUGCGCUUGCGAAAAUACAAAGUUAUAGGAUUUUCAUCAUAUGAAGUUUCAUUGUCAUUUGCAUUUAGGAGUUACGUACCCUUUGAUUGUUGUUACCCACCAUUUGUUGUCUUCUUACAUAUGCUUUGUCGUUGUCGUUUGUAUCUUCUCGGAGUGAAGGGUGAUGACUUUGAGAAGCUUUAUGUUUGUGAAGGAUGAAAGUUUCAUAGUUAUGGGAUAAUUUCCUUAGGGGGGAAAUUUGAACUCGUUGGAGAAUUUAUUGUCGAAGAAUAUAUAAGCUCAUAGAGAGCUUUUAUUGUAGAGGAAUACUUAAAACUUGCGGAGAGUAUUUAUUGUAAGAGUUGUAUUAUUUGAACAACUAUUUGAUUGACAAUUUUUGGGACAACCAUAAUUUUACAAAGAAAAAGAGGUCUUGACACAAAAAUCAAAGCAAUAGAGAGAGAAAGUAAAUACAUGAUGUGAGUAUGAGAGGAAAAGUUGUUACAAAAGUUGUCAAAAAGUGGUUGUACAAAUAUCAUUUCUCUUAUUGUAAAGUGAAGUUAAGGUCACUAAAAUCUUUUAUUGUAAGAGGAGUGUUACACUCCCUGGGAGUGUUGUGGUAAUUGUCUUAUUUACUGGAGUAAGAAAGGUCUAGUUCGAGGAAAACUUUUUAUUUUUGGGUAAAACAAUUUCAAAGGUAUAUGUGCCGAGGAUGUGUAUCAUGUCAAUGAAUUUCCUUGUUUUUAUGUUCUUUGCAAGAAAUAUUUUGCUAGUGCAAUGUUUCGCUCGCAAGGUGUUGAAGUGUGAGCUGUGUAAGAUGAGACUAUGAUUAUUUGUCACAUCCCUCAUUUAAGAUGUAUUUGAUCCUUACUACGAGGAAGAGAUUGAGUGAACAUGACCUUUGAUCCCCUUCCACCACGUGUUAGGGCUACUUCUUUGCACUUGAUGGCCUAGACUUUCUAGUGCUUUCUUGUGUUGGUACUGAGGAAGAUUCGUCGCAAUUGGAUUGAUCAUGAUGCUUGGGGUUUUGUUAGAUCUCUUGAAGAACCGUUGGAUUGAACGAGUCUUUUUCAACUUGAUCGUUUGAUUGUUAUAUUGUUUGUGGAGUGUUGGAUUGAGGUUGAUAUUCUUUGUUGUCAACCGUUGAGACCACCAUAUUGUUUUGUGGAUGGUUGGACUGGAUGGAUGACUCCCUUGUCCAUCCAAACAUUCUUUUGUUAGAGAGUAUAAAAGAUUUUGGAGGGGUAUUCGAAACACUUAUACAAUCACUUUUGAAGUAUUUUAUGGGUUUUGCAAGAGUACCAAGUAUCAACUUAUCAAAAUCUCUUAAGUUUCAAGAGUUUUACUCUCUUUUUACACUACAGGUUGGUUCUUCUAACCCUCUCUUCUCGACUACAUUUAUAAUGUCAUGUUUGUGUUUAUUUGUCACAUUUUGGCUUUAGUUUAAAACUAUUAGGUUGUUUGUUGAGUGUUUGAUGGUGGUGAUGUAGUUUUCACCGUUGUUGGUAGCGGUGGAAUGACCCACUCACGUUGUUGUGGAUUAAGGGUUAGUACUGUUUUUUUUUUUGUUUUUUUUUAAUACAAAAUGUGUUUUUAGCCUAGAAAGUGAUGAUUUUUGGCACUAAAUUAGACGUGGUAUAUUUUUCCUUCAAGUUCAUAAUAGGUUUGGGACCAAAAACACUGGCAAUAAAACGGAACAUUGUUUUCGUUAGUGUGAUAAAAUAGGACGAUCAAAAGUGCACUUAAUCCUAACUAUUAAUUAGUUUUAGGCAUUCUAAUGUACCAUAGUAUAUGUUUCCUCCUGAAGGCUUGUUUGAACUUUUAUGGUUGUUGUUGUUGUACCUCAUGUUUUUUGUUCAUGCUCUUAUAUUUUCACUUUCAAUUCAGAACUGUUUUUGGACAAAAAUAUUGCGUUAAAAAAUGUUUAUUGUAUUAUGGUACAAAUGUUUAUUUAGGGUGGGUCAUUCGACGAAACUAAAAGAAGACAUUUUAUUUUUAGUGAGUGCUGCCGAUGCCACAUGCUGUGAGCUCGAACAACGCAAAUAUUAGCGUCGGCUACAUAUGAAUACAUUAGCGGUGGAUUAGUGUCGGCUGAAAAAAUGUCGACAUUGAGAGUUAAUUUCGAGGUAUAUGGUGUUGACCUUGAUACAUGUUAAACCAUUUUUCCCAGCAGUGAAACACAUAAUUUACAAUAUUUUAACAUUUUAAACCCCUCAAAGUAAGGAUAAACACCCAGAUCGUCAAGACCAAAUAAAAAGAUCCACUAUAAUUAAGGUUUUUUAAGGAAGAUCCUCUAUAAUUUAACUUCUACCUAACCGACCAAAUCAGUUCUAACUACUGAAUUAUGGCCUAUUUCAACUUAGAUAGACAAGUGAGACACGUAGUUGAUUAUAAUAUUUUGAGUCCAAAUUCCGACAGUCAGUGAUUCUAUCUGAUUCUGGCAACCUUAAUAAAAACAAAUUUCCUUAAAAAAAUAUUAUCCUUCAAUCAGACUUCAUUCAUUAUUUUAUCUUUUGUGAUAGCAUAUGUUACACUUCGUGGCAAAAACAAUAUUAAUUAUAUCUAAGAAUUCAAUUAGUUUUCUCAAAAAAAAAAAAAAAAAGAAUUCAAUUAGUCAGCAAUAAUAAGCGGAUUGUCCUUUCAAAAAUAACACGAGCAACUUCUGAAUAAAUACUAUGUUUUUGUUUAUUACUCUUUCCUUUUCAAAUUAGAUCUCCUUUUUAAGUUUUACACGGUUUUUGUUUUUUUUUUUAAGAAAAGUUUUAUACGGUUAUUAAAUAAUUGAUUAGUAAUAUUAAUUUUAAUUGUAAAAUAUGUUUAAUUUACUAAAACAUCCUUAUUAAUAUACUAAAUCACUCCAUUCGAGGUAACUUGUUGAUAUUGACUUGUGAUCUGAUAGUGUACUCCUCAUUAGCUUAUUAGAAAAAUUGUAGUUAAUGGCAAUUUCGUUCAACAAAAAAAAAAAAAAAAGCGGAAUGUCUCCUUCAAAAAAAAAAAACAAUAAGUAAGCAUGGCAACUUCUAGGCAAUUUCCUAAUAACACGACCAACGUUUUUUUAUUAAAUAUGUUUUUGUUUAUGGUUAAUAGAUCUUUACCCUUGGUAAUAUAGGUUAUUUCUGGUUUUACCUUCUGUAAAAAUUUUAUUAGGGGGGAAAUCAAAACAAAAAUAUUUUACAGGGGUGAAUCAAAAUAAAAAUUUUACAGGGGAAAAUCAGAAAUGACAUAUAUUACAGGGGAUAAAGACCUAUUAACCCUUUUGUUUAUUACUCCUUCUGUUUCAAAUCAGGUCUCCUUUUUAAGUUUUACAUGGUUUUUUUUUCAAGGGAAGUUUUACACUGUUAUCAAACAAAUGAUUAGUAAUGUUAAUUUUAAUGGUAAAAUAUGUUUAAUUUAUUAAAACAUCCUUAUUAAUUUACUAAAUCACCCCAUUCGAGUAAACCUUAUGGUAUUGACUUGUGAUCUAAUAGUGUGCUCCUCCUUAAGUUAGCUUCUUAAAAAAAUUUAUAGAUAAUGGAGUAGUUAUAUGAUAAUAAGGGUAUGUUAAUAGAAAAGAAUAAUAAAUGUCGUGCAAGUUUCGCUCUCUUGGUAGAGGCAAUGUAUAAUAUAUGCGGGGGUCGUAGUUCAAACCUCAAACACUCCACUUCUCUACAUUUAAUAUGUGUGAGCUCCGACAUCUAGACUACUUGACAAAAAAAUAAUAAUAAAUAUUGUAUUAAUAUUAUAAUAGAGACAAAUAAUUUGAGACAAAUCAAAAUAGUAAAGAGUACACUUAUUGUGAGAUGGAGAGAGUAUAAACAUUUUCAAUUUUUUGUUUUAAUUACGCCUUAAAUUUUUCUUCAACUUCCACUCCAAUAAAACUUUUGAAUCACCAUUUAAAACUCAUGUGUAUAAUUUAAAAUCUUUAAUUUUUUUCACAGUCAUAUUUAAUACAUUAUAGAAUUCUCUAUUGCAAAAUUUUAAAUUCUUUAAACAACAAGUGAAUUAAAUAUGAAUUUUUAUGUUUUUUGCGUUUAAAAAUUCAUAUUUCAUUCAUGUUUUUUCUUUAAAAAAAGGUUUUUAUAAUGUUCUAAAUAUUCCUGCAAAAUUAAAAUUUUGAAUGAUACACAUAUGAGUUGACUUAAAAGCAGAAACUAAAAGUGAUGUUGUAAAAGAAAAUCAAAAGUUGAAGUACAUUUUCGUACUAAAAUAUUAAAUAAAAGGUAAUUGGAAGAAAUAUUCAGCUGAAAAGGUGUAAUUCCUAUGUACUCCCUCCGUUCUAAUUUAUAAGCAAAAAAACAUUAAUUUACACUUAUUAAUAAAACUAACACUCAGUGAUUUGAUAUAUGAUUUUUUGUGUUUUUUUUUUAAUAAGUUUCAUGGAAAGAUGUAAAAAUAAUUUUUAUUGGUUAAAAAUUAUGGAGAAAAUAAAAAAGAGAACAAAUUAAAUGCAACUUGCAUUUAAUUUUACAUUGGAAAAGAUGAUUUGUUUGAAAAAAACAUAAAAAUAGCAUAAAAGUUGGUCUUUUAUGCUUAUAAUUUGAGACAAAGAAAAUGAUAUUUUUUUGCUUAUAUUUUAGGACGGAGGGAGUAUAUUUAAAAUAUAUGAAUAAAUAUCUACGUUAAAAAUGGCUAGAUUUAUGAGUUGAUCCAAGAACGCUUAGAUUAUUACAAGUAAAUAUGUGAUUUGCUCCGACUAAUUUUGAAAGACAAAUUUACUUGUGAAAUAAUUCAUAGUAAAUCCGUAGUUAGUAAAAAACAAAUCCCAGCAAGUAUUUAGUUAUUCCAUAACAAACUAGUAUUCAAAAUGUAUUUUUGGCAUAAACAUAACUAUAAUUUAUCAUAGCAAUUUCGUAGCAAAUUCAUAGCUAAAAGUAGCAAAGAAAAUUAAAGGCAAAACCACAAGAAGUUGAGCUUAUACACAUAAGAUCAUCCAUAUUAGAACUACAAUCCAAUUUGUCAAGAACAACAAUUAUGUAGAAAAAAUAAAUGACAUAUAAUUGUUUUAGUUUUAUCUAAAAAGAGUGCCACCCUUGCAGGAUCACAUCCACAGAAACAGUGACAGCAGCAUGGAUGCUGCCUGAACCACAUAGAAUGUCAUCGAUGAACUCAUAAAGUAAUUACCACAACAACAAGCCUAAAUCUACAUAAACAAGGUAACACAAUAAAAAGCUACACAAUUAAUAACUAAGUAAUAGCUAAAACCAAAUUAAUCAUAACUCGAUGAGCUAGUACGGGUGUCAUCUAGCUUAACAAAGGUUUUGAGUUCGAAUCAGCUUUAAGCAUGCAACAACGUCAAAAAUUUUAGGUUUGUUUGCAAGUUUGAAGGGGAAUGAAAGAUUUCUCUAAAAAAUUAUGUGCGAAGGAUACCAAAUUUAAAAUAAAAAAAAUUAAGUUCAUUAUUAGGCAAAACCGUAAUCAAAAUUCUAAAACAAAAAGUGGAGUUUGAUUUUUUUUUUUCUUGAGUGAAGAAGGGAAGCUUGAUGGAACCCAUAUUUUAAGCCAUCAGUGAGUGUAUAUGGUAUUGGUUUAGUAAUUCAGUUUAGUUAGUUUUAGCUUUAUCUUUGAUUAGUAGUUUGUUUGGAAACUACAGCUUCUGAAGUAUAGCUUCUAAGUACAGCUUCUGAAGUAUAGCUUCUGACGUACCAGCUUCUGAAGUAUAGCUUCUAAAGUGCAGCUUCUAAAGUGCAGCUUCUGAUGUCUUCAGAAGCAUAGUCUAGUAACAAACCUUGGUUAGCGUGUUAACUAAGGUAGUUAGUUUGUUAGAGAAGUUUGUUACAACGUGCAAUUGUAUAUAUACUCACUCAUGUGUUGUAAAUAGAUGACGAUUUUAUUCAAUAAAAUUACACAAUUCUUUUACUCAUAUCUCUUUUCUUUCUCAAAACCAUAGAAACCCAAAAUUUCAGUUCCAUCUUCUUCAAUUGAACCCAGUUUUAAGUGUUGGUUUCAUUCCAAUUUCAUACAUUUUUUCAUCAUAUGGUUGGGGAAAAGUAUUGUUUAAGAAAAUAUUUAAAGCCAAACCGUGACGAAUGUUAGAGUCUGAUUAAAUUACUUUAUCAAAUUUGUACAAAAAUAAAAUAUGAGGAUGAAACCAAAUAAAUAAAACGUGAUUAUAAAAUUGCAAAACGUGACAAUUUUGAGUUCCGACGCUUAGCUUUAGCCCAAUCAUAGACCUUAAAUAAUUAAUUAAAAAGGACAUAUAUUUCUAUAUAAAUACCAAACUCAGUCUCCAAUUUUGCAUCAACAUUAACACAACUUUCCAAAACCUUUUCUCUACACACUCUUUCAAGCAAACAUGUUACCUCAAACAUUCACUCUCCCUGAAAUUCUCUUUGUUAUAUUCAUUCUCAUUCUGUCAGCUACUAUUUUUAACUCAAAAUGGAAUCAAAAAAAUGGUAGGAAAAAUCCACCAGGUCCAAAACCUUUGCCAAUUAUUGGUAACCUUCACAUGCUAGGAAAACUUCCACAUCGUUCCCUUCAACUCCUUUCUCAAAAAUAUGGACCAAUAAUGUCCUUCAAAUUAGGACAAGUCCAAACCAUUGUGGUUUCAUCACCUCAAAUUGCUGAAUUAUUCCUCAAGACCCAUGAUAGUAUUUUCUCUAGCAGGCCUAAAGCUUUUGCUGCAGAUUAUAUGACAUAUGGUAAAAAGGGCAUAAUUUUCACCGAGUAUGGCGACUAUUGGCGCAAUAUGAGGAAAUUGUGUACCAUUCAAUUAUUGCAUUCUUCAAAAGUUGAGAUGUUUGCUCCUUUGAGAAAGGAAGAGGUUGGAUUGUUGGUUAAGUCACUAAGAAAAUCAGCUACAUUACAUGAGGUUGUUAAUGUUAGCAAGGUUGUGGCUGAGCUUAUUGAGAAUAUCACUUGUAAAAUGAUAUUGGGACGAAGCAAAGAUGAUAGGUUCGACUUAAAGGGUAUUGUUCACAAGGCGAUGUUAUUGACUGGAAAAUUUAAUCUCUCUGAUUAUCUACCUUGGCUACGCCCGUUUGAUCUCCAGGUAUGAUAUACACAGUUUCAAUUCUAACAAUUUAUUGUCUAACAUAUUACUUCAAUUAAUAUUUUUCUAUUAGUUGAAAUUUGUAUGAGUCUCACCAAAUUUAAUUGAUAUCAACAUGACUUUUAACUAAUAAAAUAAAGUAUGUCGUUAACACUCGUCUACGCGUGAUAUAUAUAUAUAUAUAUAUAUAUAUAUAUAUAUAUAUAUAUAAAUACAUGUCUUGAUAAUUGUUUUUUAAGAAAAACAUCAAGAAGAAACAUGAAUUUCAAGCUUUAAAACAUUCCUCACUUCAUCAAUAUCCAUUGCUAACUCAACUCAUUGGUUAUUAGGGAAUUGAAAGACAAAUUAAGAAAACAUGGAAGCAGUAUGAUGAAUUGUUAGAGCAAAUAAUCAAAGAGCGUGAGAAUCAAUCAAUUGAAGAACAGAAAGGCCAUAACAACAAAGACUUUGUAGACAUAUUGUUAUCACUCAUGAACCAAUCAAUUGAUUCCAAAGACAACAAAUAUGACAUUGAUAGAACCAACAUCAAGGCUAUUUUAAUAGACAUGAUUUCAGCAGCACUAGACACAACCUCUGUUGUAAUUGAUUGGGUACUUUCACAACUUCUAAAGCAUCCUUAUGCAAUGAAGAAACUCCAACAAGAGCUAGAAAAUGUGGUUGGCAUGAAUAGACAAGUGGAGGAGACCCACUUGGCAAAAUUACCUUACUUGACUAUGGUUGUGAAAGAGACCUUAAGGUUGUGCCCUGUUGGACCUUUGUUAGUACCCCAUGAGUGUCUUGAAGAUGUUGUUGUGGAUGGUUAUUACAUCAAGAAAAAGACAAGAAUUUUAAUAAAUGCAUGGACAAUAGGGAGAGACACUAAUGUUUGGUCGGAUAAUGCUGAGACGUUUUAUCCAGAGAGAUUUGAAGAUAGUGAUGUAGACAUUCGUGGACAUGAUUUUCAACUCAUACCAUUUGGUUUUGGUCGAAGAAGUUGUCCUGGAAUUCAAAUGGGUCUUACUUCUGUGAAACUUGUUGUGGCUCAGCUAAUGCAUUGCUUCAAUUGGGAGCUUCCGGAUGCUAUGUCCAAAGACGAGUUAGAUAUGUCUGAAAAAUUUGAGCUCAGCAUGCCGAGAUGUCAACCCUUGCUAGCUAUGCCAACCUAUCGUCUGGUCGCUUAGUCGGAUUUAGAUUCCCUGCAAAUCAAGGUUUGGUGUGAGUGUCUUGUAUGCCGAAGUUCAUUUUUAAGUGAGAUGUAACAUUUUUUGGUGUUACAUUAGAAUAAAGGAAACAUGUAAGAUUUUGUGGAGCUUGUUUGUAGCAUUUGAAUCGAACAAUAUUGUUUCCUUUCAAUAUAUAUUUUGAAUUGCCUAAUAGGUUAAUAAUAGUUUUGCAAAUGGUUGGUGCCGAGAAAUCUGAUAACAUCAGCCAAAAGCAUAAUUUGAAGUAUUAGAAAAUUAUUAAAGAUAUAUAAUACUAGGACUUUUACCCGUGCUAAUGCCCGGGACAUUAAAAAUGAAGAAGCUAAAAAAGUUCCGAUAUUAUUCAUUACAUAAAAAAUAAAAUAAAUAAACAUAAAAAAUAUUUAAGGGCAUAUAAAAUAUUGGGUCACACAUUUUCGAAUAUUUCCUUAUAAACUAUAUUUGAAGUGGUACUGAUACAAUCCCCAUUGUCAUAUGUUAAUAAUAUCUUCAGACCAUCCCUUGAUGUAACACGUGAUAUUGCAACAUAUAGCUGCCCAUGUGAGAAGACCGAUUGUGGAAGAUAGAUGCCACCUUGCUUAAGUGAUUGUCCCUGACUUUUGUUUAUAGUCAUUGCAAAACACAAAGCUAUAGGAAACUGUAUGCGGUGAAAUUUGAAAGGAAUUCUAGUAUCAGAUGGUGUCAAUGACAAUCUCGGUAUGUAGACCUUCUCUCCAACAUUGCUUCCUGAUAUUACCCUCCCUUCAAUAACAUAUCUUCCCAUCUUAGUGACCAUUAGUCGAGUACCAUUACACAAACCUGUUGUUAUGUUCAAAUUUCUCAACAACAUAAUAAGAACUCCAACUUUCAAAGUAAUCUUGUGAUUAGGAAGACCCGAUGAAUUGAUUGUGUUCAAGAAUUCUGGUGUGUGAAUAUCAUCUGGCCUAUUGACUGAUGCGGUAUCUGCUAUUAGAGAAUCACAACUUAAAUAUGUCCUUUCUUCGCCGGGAAUGAGAGACAGAACAUAGUUAUUAACUCAAAUAUGUCCUUUCUCACUUUGUUUCAUGAUAAUUUCUUUUCCUUAAAUAGACGUGGUUAAAAUUUUAUCUGCAACACCAUAAAAAGGAUCAACGAUGCCUCUUCAGAGGCAACCAAAGAGGGAAAAUGGGACACAUAAUGAACAUGAGAGGAUACAUCCAUUUCAGGCGUGGUUGCUAGCCUAUUGCACUGUAAAUAAAUAUAUGCCAAGAAACAAAAAGGAUUAGAUAUAAGUAUGAUAACGAAAAAGAAUGAAGGUCAGUCUAGGUUAAAAGGAAGACAAUUUCUUCUAUACUUUUUUUCUAAUUUUAAUUAAGAUAAUUGAGAUGUCUUGUUUUUAUUGGUUGUUUGUAAAUGUGGACGUAUUCGGCACCAUAUAUUGGCCAAUAUUAAAAGAGGACCUUUACAUAAAGUGGAUAUUGAUAUUGUUACACAAGUAAGUUUUACUUCAACACAAGUCCAAAAGUAAAACAAGGUAUCCUUAUAAUAUAGACCAUUUUCGAAGCGAAGAUGACAGGUUCGACUUAAAGGGGCUUGUUCACGAGGCAAUGUUAUUGACCGGAAAAUUUAAUCUGUCUGACUAUCUACCUUGGCUACGCCCAUUUAAUAUAUAAGAGUUUUGCAAAUUGUUGGCGCCCAGAAAUCUGAUGACAGCAGCCAAAAGCAAAAUUUGAAGUAUUAAAAAAUUAUAGAAGAUAAUAUAAGAAAAAAUAAUGAAGGUCAGUCUAGGUUAAUGGAGAAAAAAAGGAAGAAAAAAAUCAUCUGUACUUUUUCCCUAAUUUUAAUUAAGAUAAUUGAGAUAUCUUCAAAAAAAUAUUAAGAUAAUUGAGAUAUCAUGUUUUUCUUGGUUGUUUGGAAAUGUGAACGUAUUCAGCACCAUAUUGUAGGAACUAAAAACAAAUUACUAACAAAAAUAGUCAUAGUGAUUAAAAAGUGUGAUUUUAUUUUGUAGGAAUUAAAAACAAAAUUCUAUAUGGAUCAUUUGCUUAAUGAUUCCCUAAUAUUUUCCUGCUAAAACAAAAACGCAGAAAACUCCUUGCUAUUUGAAAGGGUAAAAUUCUCGGGUAUUCCUGUAGUUUAUUUUCUGCGGCUAAAUCCGCAGGAAAUCGUGAAGUUUUAGACAAGUGAGACACGUAGUUGAUUAUGAUAUUUGAGUCCAAAAUUCCGACAGUCAGUGUUUCCAUCUGAUUCUGGCAACCCUAAUAAAAAUAUUAUCCUUAAAAAAAGAUUAUCCUUGAUCAAUCAGGCUUCAUUAUUUUAUUUUAGUGCCAGCAUAUGUUACACUUGGUGACAAAAACAAGAUUUAUUUAAUCUAACAUUUCAACUAGUCAACAACAAUAAGCCUAUAGUGCUCUCAAAAAUAAAAAAGCAAGCGUAUGGUAACUUCUAGGCAAGAUAGGAAAAUUAUUGAGUUUCGAGGGAAUGUAUUUAUGAAAAUACACAAUAAAAAAUAUGUUUUGACAUUUUUCAAAUUUUAGACAAAUAUUCAAUCUUUUUUCAAUAAACUUUGAUAAACCAUUUAAGGAUGGGCUUGCUUUAGUGGGUGUAAUUUGAUACUCCCUCCGUCAUAAACCAUUUAGGGUGUGUUUGGAACCACUGAAAGUGAAAGGAAAGAGUGUGGAGUGAUCAAUUUUUGAUGGACCCUACAUCAAGAAAACUUUCUGGCCAAAUUUGAGAAGAAAGCGUGAAGAAAUUAUCCAAUAUUUCAAAUGGACAUUUAUGCCCUUGCUUUGGUAGAUGUGUAUGAGUUAUUUACACUUUUGCAAUAGUGUUUAUAUAAUCAACUUAAAACAAAUAUUUAAAAAAAAGUUAAAUCAAUAAUUUAAUUAAUAAAUAACCAAUAUACUAAUAUUUUAUUUUAAAAUAUUAUAUAAAUAUAUCUAUAAAUAUAUGCAUAUAUUUAUAUUAGAUAAAUAUUUUUAAUAUUUUACAUUCAUAUUUUAUUCAAAUGUAGGGAUAUUUAUGUCAUUUACAAAAAUAUAUCAUUUUUUUUCCUCUAACUUUCUUUUCACUUUCAUUUAUACCAAAUAACAAAACAAUCAUCUCACUUUCCUUUCCCUUUCUAUUCAAUUUCAAUCCUUAUACUUUCUUUCCUUCUACUUUCUUUCCUUUUGUCACCCAAACGGACCCAUAAGGAUGGGCUUGCUUUAGUGGGUGUAAUUUGAUACUCCCUCCGUCUCACAAUAUUAAUCGUUUAAGAUUUGUGUAUGAUUAUUAAGAAAAUGAUUAAUUGUGUUGAUUUCAAUGGUAAAAUUAGUAGCAUUUACUAAAACGUCAUUAUUAAUUGUAGUUAGUGAAGUAGUUAAGUUGGAUGAAAUUUAAUAAAUAAGGGUAUAAUAGUGAAAAAAUAAUAAAUGUUGCAUUGAUAUUGUAAAUGACAUUUAUUUUGAGAAAAAUAAAAAAUGUUAAAAGACAAUAAUUGUGAGACGGAGGGAGUAAUUCUUUAUAUCAUUAAAAAAUACUCCAUCCGUUUCAUUUUACUGUCAUUUGAAUACGAAUUUAACGUUCCUAUUUAACUGUAGUAUUGAUAGUUUAAGAGUACAAUCGUUCAAUUAUAUCAUUUUUAAAUUACUCUUACUUACUCCUUUUUAAUCUAUUUGGAAAACUCAAUCUUUUUUUUAUACAAAGUUUGUUUUCUGUUAUUUGUGAAUUUAAACAAUUUUUGUUAUCUAUAAUAAUUGUUCAUGAAGAAUUUAAAUUCUAUAAAUAAAAUGAAUAGCAUUGUUAAAAAUUAAUUUCAAGUGUAAAAAUAAAAGAUCAAUUCUAAUGAAAAAAAAAAGGAAUAUGUAUGAAAAGAAAAAGGAAUUUGUUAGAGAGAGGAAGAGUAAGUAACAAAUUUUGUUUGUUAUGAGAGAAAAAUAACCUACUAAGUCUAUUGAAAAGAGAAAAGGUGUGCAAAAUAUAUAAAUUGAUUGGUGAAUCAAAGAGAGGGUAUAUUAGGAAAUAAAAACUUCACAUAUUCACUUCUUUAAUUUGGCAAUAUACUAUUCAAAAACUGACACUUAAAAAGAAAUUGCACUACAAGAAUUCAUCAAUUUACCAACCAAUUCAAAAUUGCAUUAUUGAGGGAUUUAGACCCUCAGUAAUUACUGACGGAAUAACCCUUCAGUAACACAAAAAAAAAAAAAAAAAAAAAAAAUUCUCAAUAAUUAUGUGAGUUACAUUACUGAUAGAUAAAUCCGUCAGUAAUGUCAUUAAUGAACCUGCCAACAUUUAUUGGCGGAUAUUGAUAGAGUAUUAGUUAAAUAUGUAGGUGCAUCAUUUUACCUUAAACUAUGACAUGCAUGUCCUCGUGAGCUUAACUCAGUUGGUUGGACAAUGCAUCAAAUAUGCAAGGCUCGGGGUUCAAAUCCAAGAAGAAAAAAAAACUAUGCCAUGCAGAUUAGAAAAUAAAAUAUAUUUUUCACUUCAAAGCAUAAAUUAUAUGUUAUUAGUUUUAAAUUAAAUGAUUUCCUUCCAUCCUUUUGUAAAAAUUUCGGAAAAAAAGGAAUUUAUGGCUGAAACUUUUACUCUACUUUCUUUAUCUUAAAUCUUUUGAGUGAGAGUUUUGUCAUCCAUUUUUUUCCGAUCGAUAUCGGAGAAUUAGGGGGAUGUAUUGGAUUAGGAUUCUAUGGGAUUUUAAAAGACUUUUUAAUUAUGAAAAAGUCUUGUGGUAUUCAAUCAAGACUUUUUGCAAUUUAAAAAAAGUCUUGUGGUAUUCAAUCAAGACUCUUUGUCAUUUUAAAAAAGUCUUGAAGUAUUCAAUCAAGACUUUUCAUCAUUUAAAAAAAGUCUUGUGGUAUUCAAAAUCAUUCAAAUUUCGAAGGAUUGUUUAAUAAAUUGGAUUUUGAUGGAUUUUGUGGGAUUUUCUAGUGUAAUUUUAACAAGAAAAAGUCUUUCAUGAAAAGAUGAGAUUUCUUGAGAUUGUUUUUAUUUUAAAAGUUACUAUCUUUUUCUUCUCAUCUCUCUCUCUCUCUCUCUCUCUCUCUCUCUCUCUCUCUCCCUCUCUCUAUCUCAUAAAAAAAUAAAAAAUUGUAUUGAGAAUAUUAUGAUAGAGAGUAUGUCGUAAUCAAUGUUCCGUAAAUCGAGUGUUAAAUCUCCGAGAUUAUCGAGUAUACAUUUUUAGGUACAAAAAUCGUGUUAACUCUGAGGUAAAAUCGGUUUCUGGUAAAAUUGGAAGGUUUAACGAGUUUGACUGAGUUAACACUCGGUAAACUCGUGUAACUCGACCGAUUUGUAAUGGCUGACACAAUAUUUUUUUUUGAAAGAUUUGUAAGUGCUGACAUAAUUUUAAAUAUGUACAGUUGAAUUUUAUGGGAAUAACAUUUUUAACAAAUAAAAAAUGUGUAUUGAGAAUAAUGUGUUAGAGUGUUUUUUAGUCCCUUGAAAUCUUAUAAAUUCCAUAAAAUUCUUAAAAUUUGAAAAUGAAUAGUAAAAGAAUUUUUUAUUGGUUUUAUUUUUCUUUAUUCAAACGCUAGAAUUUAUUUGUUCAUUAUUUUUAUCAUUCACGUUUGUAAGUUUGCUCUUUUUCCCCUAAAAUUUAUUGAAUCUUUUGAAAUUUUAAAAUCACAUGAAAUCCUUUGAAAUCCUUAAAAGUCUGUGUGAUAAAUCCUUUAAAAUCUUGAGUGUAUAAAGUCUUUUACAUAAAAAGUCUUUUAAAAUCUCACAGAAUCAAUACAAUCUCACACAGUAUUUUAAAAUCUUAAAGACUUUUUUUAUUAAAAUAGUCUUUUAAAAUCCUAAUCCAAUACACCCCCCUUAGUGUUUGUAGUUGCACAUAGGAUACCUGGUUCACAUAAAAAAACAUAUUGCGAGUUUUUUUGUAUAUUGAAAACUCUAAAAGUAAAUUGUUUAAAAAAUAGUUCACAUAUUGAACUGUACUAAUAUUUUAAUAAUUAUGCGUAUAUGCACGUACCUAUGGAUAAGUUGAAGGACACUCUUCCCCAAAAUAAAAUUAUUUAAGGCGACUAAAUGUUUGGGCUUAUGUUUACUAGACCCGGCUCAUUUCCUAACCCUAGAUCCGUACCUCCUUUCUUGUCACUUGUUGUAUUAAAAGUUUCCGCCGUCGUUUCUUCCUCAUUUCAUCUUAUACUUCUCUAUUGUGCUUCUUCUUUAUUACUCUGUGUUCUCCAUCUUUUUCCAAAUAUCUUCAUAAUAUUUAUUUUUUUUACUUUCUUGUGUUCUUCGUGAUCUAAGUUUACUAAUCAUUUUUGUAAAAUUUCAAUACCCUUUAGACCUAGAGUUCAUCAAUAAUUAGUUAUGUGGUUCCUCCAUCAAGUUCAAUUGCGUCGAUUCAAUCCAAUUUCAAUUUGCUGACGUCAACUCUUAUCAAAUAGAAAUAUGGAUCUGAUAGCUUGAUCCUCCUAAAUAGCUUGAAUAUGCUAUCAAUGUAUGGUCCAAUUGGUCGAAACAACCGAUCUGGCUUAGGUUUUGUAACACUGAGUGAAUGUGAAGAUGAUCUUAUGAAAACAAUCAUAUAUCUCAAAUUUAUCAAAUCGGUGAAGUACCAAAGGUAUACAUUCGAUAUAAAUCUGCAACUUGAUUUACAUUCAUUUAUUAUAUACUUAUAUCCAAUUCUUAAAUUAUCCUUAGCAUGGAUCCUUUGUGGUAGAACAAUGUAUUUAUUCUUGUUUACAUACAAACAUAUGUAUUUCAUGGAUCUCAAUUAUCAUUUUUAUUUUAUUUUAAGAGAUUCAAUUUUGUUUCUAAGCACAUAUCUUCACUUUAGAUGGAUCUCAUGAGUUAGUAAUCUUCUCCAUUUAAUCACCCUUCUCCUCAGUCUCUUGGUUACUUUUGAUCUCACCUCAUCUUUCUUUUGUCUUUUCACAAAAUA
rnacentral:lncRNA from 1 species